rnacentral:rRNA from 1 species
CGUAGGUGGCAAGCGUUGUCCGGAUUUAUUGGGCGUAAAGCGAGUGCAGGCGGUUCAAUAAGUCUGAUGUGAAAGCCUUCGGCUCAACCGGAGAAUUGCAUCAGAAACUGUUGAACUUGAGUGCAGAAGAGGAGAGUGGAACUCCAUGUGUAGCGGUGGAAUGCGUAGAUAUAUGGAAGAACACCAGUGGCGAAGGCGGCUCUCUGGUCUGCAACUGACGCUGAGGCUCGAAAGCAUGGGUAGCGAACAGGAUU